rnacentral:lncRNA from 1 species
CUCCCUUAAUCUUACUGAGUGGAUCUUUUAAGUCUUCUUUACUGGAUACUGGUUAUAUUGUAGGAAGUUAUCAACACUAUGAUGCUUUAUAUUAGAAAAGGAAAUGCAUUUACCCCUUAAACACGUCUCCAGCUUGUGUUUCCAUCCAACCUGCUGUCAGGUCUUCUUCCUUUUUCUACCUGUCAGCAGACAAACAGUAAGUAAGCGCUGCUACCACCUGCAGGAGGGGAGUAGGAAACGUUAUGGCAACGAAAUAUUUAAUUUAAAUAAUUGAUACUCAUUUUGAGACAAAGACACAAUUAAUUAUCGCGUAUAAUCCCUGAAAUAUUUAGCAUAGCUAGAAAUGUCACAAUUCACCAUUUAGAAUGUUAGCUCGAUGCUAAUCCGUUAUGGGGUUUACUAUUUCCGUGCUGACGGAAAUUAGCAUCGCGUCCGCUGGUAAUGAUCAUCUUCAACACUGCAAAGCCGCGUGUGUAAUUCAUCUUACGAAACGUGGAGAAAGACGUUGUGCUCCGGCAUGAAAUGGGUCCUGGACGACCUCCAAGAUGUCACCUCGCCUCCACCAUUAUCGAUGCGCCACCUGUCAUAUACAAACACGCUUCAAUGCCUAAUCAAGACCAUUCACUUUCUCCCCUCCAUGCCUCCUGCUGCAGAAUCCAAACCCGCCUUUUUCCUUCACCAACUAUUUGUUGCUCGGGGUGCCCUCAAGGUUACCGGCUGCUCACGUCCCAGCGUAGUUAGUAAGUAAGCUGUGGGUUUGACAGAAUGGGUCACGUCAGAGCCAAGUGGGACGUUAUUACAUCAUCAAGCGUUGUACAGCUGACAACCUAAUGCUUCUAUGAAAUUAAAGUGACAGCAAUCAGCAGCUUGUUUCGCAUCACUCUCACUUCCUGUCGUCUGCGGGACUGGAACUACUUUAAACUGUAACUACACAAACAUCAUAUCUGCACUGCACCUUAAAGCCAGCCGAUCAGUCUGAGGAUGCAGGAUACACACACGUACACACACCUGACCCAUUUCAUGAAGUAUGAUUGAGAACAACAUGAAAAGUCCCGAGCUGCCAAACCUGCCGACCCUCAGCAGGUUUGCCAGGAGCAGUGAGCGGAGGAGAGCAGGUGCAGCAGACAUUAAGACUCGUAAUAAGCGGCGAUGAUGAACCCGGGGGAGGGGGAGGGGGGUCAUGCGUGGACAGGAGAAAGGACGGAAGCAGGAAGCGCUGACGCCAGUUGUUACCUUGAGGUGGCAAUCAAUGCCACGGCUGCCGGAAGCUUAACCGGGGCGAUUUGCACCCCUGUCAGGGCCGCGCGGCCUCCGAAUCAUCACGCUGAAUAGCCCAGAGGUUGUAAAUCUAAACCGAAGACCAAAGUUGAACCAGUUCAUUUAAAUUAAAUCCAUUAUGCGUUUUAUUGACUGAGCGG